rnacentral:misc_RNA from 1 species
GACCUGCGGAAGGAUCAUUGUCAAAACCUCUGCAAGAGCAGAACGACCCGUGAACUUGUGAUAACAAUCGUGGGGAGCGGUGGCUUCGCAGCCGCACCCCCACGUCUCCGCGGGUGCGGGACUAGUCUCGUUCCCCGUGGGGGCGAACAACGAACCCCCGGCGCGGUCUGCGCCAAGGAAAUCUAACGAGAGAGCACGCUCUCAGGGCCCCGGACACGGUGUGCUCUGGGACGCGGCGCCUUCUUUCACUCUAUCUAUAACGACUCUCGGCAACGGAUAUCUCGGCUCUCGCAUCGAUGAAGAACGUAGCGAAAUGCGAUACUUGGUGUGAAUUGCAGAAUCCCGUGAACCAUCGAGUCUUUGAACGCAAGUUGCGCCCCAAGCCUUUAGGCCGAGGGCACGUCUGCCUGGGUGUCACGCAUCGUUGCCCCACCCCWCCCCCUCCGGGGGCCUGGCGGUGCGGGCGGAUAAUGGCCUCCCGUGCGCUCCCCGCUCGCGGUUGGCCCAAAAAUUGAGUCCCUGGCGACCGGAGCCGUGACGAUCGGUGGUGAAAACAAACCUCUCGAGCUCACGUCUCGUGCUCGGCCCCCUGUUUCGGGACUCAUAGACCCUGAAGCUCUGUGCAAGCAGCGCUCGCAUCGCGA